GAUUUGGUGAUCCAGUGGUUUGAGUGAAGGACUAUGACUCUGAAGAACAGGGUUCAAAUCCCUGCUCAGCCA